rnacentral:rRNA from 1 species
CCUUUCACAGAGGGAUAGCCCAGAGAAAUUUGGAUUAAUACCUCAUAGUAUAGUACCUUGGCAUCAAGGAACUAUUAAAGAUUUAUCGGUGAAAGAUGAGCAUGCGUCCCAUUAGCUAGAUGGUAAGGUAACGGCUUACCAUGGCUACGAUGGGUAGGGGUCCUGAGAGGGAGAUCCCCCACACUGGUACUGAGACACGGACCAGACUCCUACGGGAGGCAGCAGUGAGGAAUAUUGGUCAAUGGGCGCAAGCCUGAUCCAGCCAUGCCGCGUGCAGGAAGAAGGUCCUAUGGAUUGUAAACUGCUUUUAUACAGGAAGAAACACCUCUACGUGUAGAGACUUGACGGUACUGUAUGAAUAAGGACCGGCUAACUCCGUGCCAGCAGCCGCGGUAAUACGGAGGGUCCAAGCGUUAUCCGGAAUCAUUGGGUUUAAAGGGUCCGUAGGCGGCCAAAUAAGUCAGUGGUGAAAGCCCAUCGCUCAACGAUGGAACGGCCAUUGAUACUGUUUGGCUUGAAUUAUUAGGAAGUAACUAGAAUAUGUAGUGUAGCGGUGAAAUGCUUAGAGAUUACAUGGAAU